GGGCUCAUGCAGAUCAGUAAGAGGUUCCACGUGGGGAAGGGAGAACCUUUCAGCAGGGACCACAUCGACGAGGGAACCACGUACCUGAUCCACCUCAUCAAGACCAUGAAGAACCGGGAGGAGACCUGGACCCGGGAGCAGCACCUCAAAGGAGCGCUGGUCGGGUACAUGAUCGGGAUCGAAGGCGUUCCUCGAGACCAUCCUGA